rnacentral:rRNA from 1 species
CCUACGGGUGGCAGCAGUGAGGAAUAUUGGUCAAUGGACGAGAGUCUGAACCAGCCAAGUAGCGUGAAGGAUGACUGCCCUAUGUGUUGUAAACUUCUUUUAUAUGGGAAUAAAAUGUUCCACUUGUGGGAUUUUGUAUGUACCAUAUGAAUAAGGAUCGGCUAACUCCGUGCCAGCAGCCGCGGUAAUACGGAGGAUCCGAGCGUUAUCCGGAUUUAUUGGGUUUAAAGGGAGCGUAGGUGGAUUGUUAAGUCAGUUGUGAAAGUUUGCGGCUCAACCGUAAAAUUGCAGUUGAAACUGGCAGUCUUGAGUACAGUAGAGGUGGGCGGAAUUCGUGGUGUAGCGGUGAAAUGCUUAGAUAUCACGAAGAACUCUGAUUGCGAAGGCAGUUCACUGGACUGAAACUGACACUGAGGCUCGAAAGUGUGGGUAUCAAACAGGAUUAGAUACCCUUGUAGUC